AGUGGAGUGCCUGAAAUAAAGGGUUAUCGUGAUAUGAUAAAUUAUGUAAACAAUUUACCUCCAUUA
rnacentral:tRNA from 1 species